GGACUUCAGAUCAGUGGUAGAGCACAUGUUUUGCAUACAUAAAGUCCCAGUUUGAAUCCCUGGAAUCUCCA